GCCUGGGUGGCUCAGUCGGUUAAGCAUCGGACUUGCGCUCAGGUCAUGAUCGCGCGGUGCGUGGGUUUGAGUCCCACAUCGGGCC
rnacentral:tRNA from 1 species